UACGAAGGGUGCAAACGUUGUUCGGAAUUACUGGGCGUAAAGCGCACGUAGGCGGCUUUGUAAGUUAGAGGUGAAAGCCCGGGGCUCAACCCCGGAAUUGCCUUUAAGACUGCAUCGCUAGAAUUGUGGAGAGGUAAGUGGAAUUCCGAGUGUAGAGGUGAAAUUCGUAGAUAUUCGGAAGAACACCAGUGGCGAAGGCGACUUACUGGACACAUAUUGACGCUGAGGUGCGAAAGCGUGGGGAGCAAACAGG
rnacentral:rRNA from 1 species